UACAGAGGUGGCAAGCGUUGUUCGGAAUUACUGGGCGUAAAGGGCGCGUAGGCGGUCUUUCGAGUCCCGUGUGAAAUCCCUCGGCUCAACUGAGGAACUGCACGGGAAACUGUCUGGCUUGAGUUCGAGAGAGGGAAGCGGAAUUCCGGGUGUAGCGGUGAAAUGCGUAGAUAUCCGGAGGAACACCGGUGGCGAAGGCGGCUUCCUGGACCGACACUGACGCUGAGGCGCGAAAGCUAGGGGAGCAAACGGG
rnacentral:rRNA from 1 species